UACGAAGGGUGCAAACGUUGCUCGGAAUUAUUGGGCGUAAAGCGCACGUAGGCGGCAUUGCAAGUCCCAUGUGAAAGCCCACGGCUUAACCGUGGAAGUGCAUGGGAAACUGCAGUGCUUGAGUACUUAAGAGGAUCGCGGAAUUCCCGGUGUAGAGGUGAAAUUCGUAGAUAUCGGGAGGAACACCAGUGGCGAAGGCGGCGAUCUGGGAAGAUACUGACGCUGAGACGCGAAAGCGUGGGGAGCGAACAGG
rnacentral:rRNA from 1 species